GAGUUUGAUCAUGGCUCAGAUUGAACGCUGGCGGCAUGCCUUACACAUGCAAGUCGAACGGCAGCACGGGAGCUUGCUCCUGGUGGCGAGUGGCGAACGGGUGAGUAAUGCAUCGGAACGUAUCCUGGAGUGGGGGGAUAACGUAGCGAAAGUUACGCUAAUACCGCAUAUUCUGUGAGCAGGAAAGCGGGGGACCUUCGGGCCUCGCGCUCUUGGAGCGGCCGAUGUCGGAUUAGCUAGUUGGUGAGGUAAAGGCUCACCAAGGCGACGAUCCGUAGCAGGUCUGAGAGGAUGAUCUGCCACACUGGAACUGAGACACGGUCCAGACUCCGUACGGGAGGCAGCAGUGGGGAAUUUUGGACAAUGGGGGCAACCCUGAUCCAGCCAUGCCGCGUGAGUG
rnacentral:rRNA from 1 species